rnacentral:tRNA from 1 species
AAAUAAGAAGCAAAAAAUUGCAUUUAGUUUCGACCUAAAAGUUUGAUAAAUGAAAUUAUCCUUAUUUA